UCAAGAGAACGUGAAAUCGUUGAAGUGGAACCGGAGAGAGUUGACGUAGUAUGGUGGAUAAGUAUUGCAAGAAUCGCUUCAAACCAUGAAUGUGAUCGAGUAAUAUGUACGUCACCAAAGACUGCGCUGACAGCAUCGACUACACGCUCUGAACUGUGUUGACAUGUUGCCUAUUCUAGUAUAUAGAAUGGUGUCUUGUGUUACGUGGUGAAGUUUGUUGUUAUGUUGUUGAUGUUGAUAAKUAUGAUUAUACAUCGAGUAUAAUUAUGUCAGUGUAAAAGUCAACCACCUCUCCGACCCGUCUUGAAACACGGACCGAGGAGUGUAACUUGUACGCGAGUCAUUGGGUGGAAAAACCUUAAGGCGAAACGAAAGUGAAGGCACGGUUAACCGGCUGACAUGGGAAACGUGCGGUAUUGUUAGCGAGACGUUACACCAUGGCCCUGUCUUGUCUGCAUGCAGAUGGGCAGCGGUAGAGCGUACAGGUUGCGACCCGAAAGAUGGUGAACUAUGCCUGAGCAGGACGAAGUCAGAGGAAACUCUGGUGGAAGUCCGUAUCGGUUCUGACGUGCAAAUCGAUCGAUAGACUUGG
rnacentral:rRNA from 1 species